ensembl:snRNA U1 U1 spliceosomal RNA
AUACUUACCAUGAGAUACCAUGAUCAUGGAGGUGGUUUUCUCAAGGUGAGGCUUAGCCAUUGCACUCCGGAUGAACUGACCCCCGAGAUUUGUUCAAAUGCAGGAAACUUGACUGCAUAAUUUGUGGUAGUGGGAGACUGCAUUCACACUCUCCCU